CCUACGGGUGGCAGCAGUGAGGAAUAUUGGUCAAUGGUCGGGAGACUGAACCAGCCAAGCCGCGUGAGGGAGGAAGGUACAGAGUAUCGUAAACCUCUUUUGUCAGGGAACAAAGACUGGGACGCGUCCCCGGAUGAGUGUACCUGAAGAAAAAGCAUCGGCUAACUCCGUGCCAGCAGCCGCGGUAAUACGGAGGAUGCGAGCGUUAUCCGGAUUUAUUGGGUUUAAAGGGUGCGCAGGCGGUCUGUUAAGUAAGCGGUCAAAGCCCGGGGCUCAACCCCGGCCCGCCGUUGAAACUGGCAGUCUCGAGUUGGAGAGAAGUAUGCGGAAUGCGCGGUGUAGCGGUGAAAUGCAUAGAUAGGGGGGAGGGGGGCGUUUGCGAAGGCAGCAUGCCGGCUCCACACUGACGCUGAGGCACGAAAGCGUGGGUAUCGAACAGGAUUAGAUACCCUUGUAGUC
rnacentral:rRNA from 1 species